UAUAUAUCAGAAAAUAAAUAAGAAAAUCUCAUGUUAAAUUUUUUUUUAGUUUUUUUUUUCCAAGAAAAAAGUUGUCAUGCUGUGAGUAUAAAAGUCCAUAUGUACACUUGCAUAUUUGAAGUCAUUUUUGGGAGAAAACGUCGAAAUGUUAACCUGUAAUGUAAUUUUCAAGACCUAAAAAAAAAUAAUAAUAAUCAUGGGUAUGUUGUAUUAGUUGAUGAAAAAAAGUCUGAUUGGCACAAAAUCCUCCCAUGUGAACCGAAACAAAACAUCCUCCUAACAGUCAACUUUAUUUUCUUUAGGUUAUGACUUUAUGCUUGUACCGUUACAAAUUUGUUUGCCUAAUUCUCCAAAUGUGUUGUAUUGCAAUUUUUUUCUGGUUAAAAUACAACUUUAUGCUUGUAACAUUGACUUUGUUUUUUUAAUUAUUCAGUGUGGCCCUAAUAUUCCUUGACACACCCCCAGGGUAAAUUUUGAUGCAAAAGAAACUUGAAUUUGGUUUUGUUGGCACUUGAGAACACAACCGUACUGCAUGAAAUUGUCACUGCAAAAAAAAAAAAAAAAUACUGUUAAACUUACACAUCAACAAAUAGGUAUUUUUUUUUUCAAACAUGAAAAUAAUAUAUAAAACAAGGUCCAUGUGCAACUAAUCUAGCAGAGUAAAACUGUAACAGGGAAUGGAGCUACUGGAUAUUGGAUGAUUAAGUCUUGAAGGGGGCCAUGAGUGUCCACGGUUCAGUUUGGUUUGAGAUCAUCAGUGACUAUGAAAUCUCAAUGUGACGCCGUCGCCCGGCUGCUUCCAACAAGCCGCGUCUUUUCACGGUUUAAUUGGAAUUGAGAUGUCAGGAGGAGGUUAGCGGAUGUCUCCGCCUGCCCGUAUGGAGACAAUACGGUAUAACACUUGAGUGCAUGCAGAAGGUCACAUCCACGCAAAAGUGUGAUGAAACAUUUGGAAGGUAAGCGCCACGAGUCAAAAUAGAUGCACAUUUUUCAUGGUAACACCCAAACCCAACCGCACUUCUGCUUUUUGACACCCCUGACUUAUGUUAAACAAAACGUCCCAACUUCAGUGCCAUUGGGUUUAUACUAGAGCCAUGGAAUUUUCAAAUAAAUUGGACU